GAGAAAAAAAUGAGAUUUUCAAACAUAGAUGUAUUUUUUUACAGUUAAAAUCUAACAACACCUUAUACCGACUAUCUUUAAUGCAAUAGAAACUUUAGACGACUAUCCAUUGAUUUUAUCCAAGAGAAAAUAGAAAUUAAAUGGUUUUGAAAAAUAAAUUAUUUUUUUUUCCAAUGAAAGUUAACAACUUGUCCCCCCCACCCACCCACCGUCCAGCAAGCUUGUGUCCAAAAAUGAAUUAAUGUUAUUGGUUGAAAGAUUAUUAUUGAUGACGCAUAAAUACAUUUUUCAAUUUUAAACAUCUCCUAACUUGAUUCUGUGCUGUCUAUGAAAUCUCACUUGCUUCGAGCAUUGUUUUAAGUUAUAAAUUUGUUAUUAUCUCAUCACCUUUUGUUUCUCUAAUUUCCAGAGGGAUAUAUAUUUUAAAGAUAUUUCCUAGAUAAAUAUAUACUCUCGCUUUAUUCAUAAAAUUCACACAGUUCCAUCCUCGCGUUUUCAUUUGUGCCAACAACCUGUCAAUCUCAUUAGACUCUGGUGGUGAUAAACUACUUUGUUUACAAAUAGUAUUCUUAUCUUUGAUUGGCUGCAGUUCAUUACAUAUUACCCCUUAUUGGGGGCGUUUUUCUGUACUCAUCGACCUUUUUUCUUAUGAAUAAUUAAGAAAAAUAACGACCCAUGUUUUUAGUGAGAAAAGUAUCACAAAAUCCCACCCACCUGUUGACAAAUGUAAUUAUAAUUUCUACGAGGUCCAGUUUUUGUAAUAUGUUAAAUUAUAUAAAAGAUAAUUAAUUUAAGUUGUGUUUAAUAUUUUGUUCAUUCAGCACGUACCUAUUGUAAGAUGUUAAAGGGGCUGUAAGCGCAGUUUCAUGUGACCCUCCAUGCUAAGAUGACAAUUCCGUUUUUCAGAGUACCCUUGAAACCUUUGUUUGAUCAAGUAUGAAUUAGGUACGAGAGCUUUUGUUUCUUUGUAAAUGUUUAUUUUCAUUUCCGGUUUCUCUGUAUUUCUGCUGUUCUUGCGUAUAAGAAACAAUAGCGAAGAUCACAGAAUUAAACAAUUUGACGUUAUCUUCACAUUUUAUAUCCAGUUAGGGUUUCAAGGGAAUAAAUAGGGCAUGGACAUCUUUGAUUGGUUGGUCACGUGAAAUUGCGCUAAUUCAGACCCUUUAAGAAGAUAGUUCUGAUGUAGUGACGCAUCAAAUAAAAAAUUCACUUUACAGGGUGUCCGAAGAAACCGGGACCCUGUGGCAUAUACUUAUAUUUGUACAGGGUGGCUCAGAAUAUACUGGGUACACCCUGUCCUGUCCAUUGACCAAUCUAGAUUGUAUUAGAAAAAAGAUCUACAGGGUUAAUAUAUAUUCUUUAAACAUGA